GGGUUGUGAGGUUAAGCGACUAAGCGUACACGGUGGAUGCCCUGGCAGUCAGAGGCGAUGAAGGGCGUGCUAAUCUGCGAUAAGCGCCGGUAAGGUGAUAUGAACCGUUAUAACCGGCGAUACCCGAAUGGGGAAACCCAGUGUGACUCGUCACACUAUCAUUAACUGAAUCCAUAGGUUAAUGAGGCGAACCGGGGGAACUGAAACAUCUAAGUACCCCGAGGAAAAGAAAUCAACCGAGAUUCCCCCAGUAGCGGCGAGCGAACGGGGAGGAGCCCAGAGCCUGAAUCAGCAUGUGUGUUAGUGGAAGCGUCUGGAAAGGCGCGCGAUACAGGGUGACAGCCCCGUACACAAAAGCGCAUGUGCUGUGAGCUCGAUGAGUAGGGCGGGACACGUGGUAUCCUGUCUGAAUAUGGGGGGACCAUCCUCCAAGGCUAAAUACUCCUGACUGACCGAUAGUGAACCAGUACCGUGAGGGAAAGGCGAAAAGAACCCCGGCGAGGGGAGUGAAAAAGAACCUGAAACCGUGUACGUACAAGCAGUGGGAGCCCCACCACCAAAGCAUUUGCUGUACCGCGUUGACGGAGCGAAGCGACGUCAAACCGAUAAAACAGCAGUGUAAAGUGAGCC
rnacentral:rRNA from 1 species